rnacentral:ncRNA from 1 species
GCCAAGCUGAUUCCCGACGGUUCCCCUCGGGGAUCAAAAGGGAACGCGGUGAGGGGCCUGCCCCGAUGCCGCGGCUGUCCCCGCAACUGUAAGCGGUGAGCCCUUCACCACCACGUCACUGGGUUUCGGCCCGGGAAGACGGUGCGAGGGCGGCGACCCGCGAGCCAGGAGACCUGCCGUCAGCCGUGGUCACACG